UACAUCGUGAGUUCCAGGUCAGUCUCAACUACAAAAAACAAACAAAAAUGUAUGGAAGGUAGGUGGUCAGAAGAAGAGAUGGGAUUUGAUCAAGGAGACAAAGAUGGAAUUUAAGGGUGACAGGAGUAGGUUUGGAAGCCGAGGUGGUGAAAAUGAGUUCCGUUUGCUGCUGUAGCAUUUGAAAUGUUUGCUGGGAUCUUAAGAGGAAAGCUAAGGCAGUUAACUGGCCGCAAGAGGUCAGUGCUGAGCUGCAGACCCGGGGGUGGGGGUACAUGCUCUUUAAAGCCGUGGAGGGAGUGCGAAGGUCACAGCUAGAGCAGGGCCCGCACUGGUCUCUGGGCUGGCGCUGGGGGCGGGCGGAGGGGAGCUGGGACAGGAGCGGAAGCGCAGCAGCUGAGCGGGAGGAGCUCCGCCGAGGGGCGGCGCUCAGGAGCUAACGGUGUGGCCGGCGGUGAAAUGCUGGGCUCCCGAGUGAGGAUGGGGAAGGAAGGGCCGUGGGUUUGGCAGCGAGGAGGGCAUGGGAUGAGGUGAAGGGAGCGCUUGAGAUGCAUCUGAGAGGCUGGUCGGAAAUGGAGUUCUUUAUGCCCCCAGCUGCCCUCCGCCCGCCUGGCCUCCCGCCCCUGGACCCAGUGGAAGCGGAGAGAGCUCAGAGUUUGCCUCCCCGUCCUGGCCAGAGUGGGCCAGCCUCCUCCCCGCUGCCCGUGGUCCCCUCCUGUGAGAGCCGCAGCUCUGUGGGUCUUUGCUGCCCGCAGCCGAGCCUUUUCCGGGCUGGGCUCUGACCGCCGUCCAGCGCGGUUCCCAGCCCCUCCACUACGCUCUUCCUAAAGCUUCCCUUUGAGCAGUGGCUACUGGAUUUAGUGGCUGAAUCACCAUAGAAUACUGUGUAGUGACUGUGAGAACCUAGAAUCGUGGUCUGGCUUCGGGUGUUUCCAGCUGACCUCUCUGGGCUGCAGCCUCAGGAGAGACCCUUAGACAGAACUACCAGCUACACUGCUCCCAGAUUCCUACCGGCAGAACCUGAGAUAGCCCUUUUGUGUUUACUGAGAUGUGCGAUGAAGAGCUUCAGGACCUGCCAGCGUCUCAGCGCGAGCCAUCAGAGGGACGCAGAGAAUCGGGCUUCAGAUGCAUUUCAUUCCCCUCGCCCGGAAAACGAGACCCGGCUGGAAAGUAAUCAGCCUUGAAAACAGAGAUCAAGAGCGUCAGCCCCAUCGGCUGUGCUACUUCCGGAGCCUCCAUUGGCGGCUGCGGACUCGACGGACGACCGAAGAGAGGCC